rnacentral:rRNA from 1 species
UACGUAGGGUGCAGGCGUUAAUCGGAAUUACUGGGCGUAAAGCGUGCGCAGGCGGUUUUCUAAGUCAGAUGUGAAAUCCCCGGGCUUAACCUGGGAACUGCGUUUGAAACUGGGAGGCUAGAGUGCGGCAGAGGGGGGUGGAAUUCCACGUGUAGCAGUGAAAUGCGUAGAUAUUUGGAGGAACACCGAUGGCGAAGGCAGCCCCCUGGGCCUGCACUGACGCUCAUGCGCGAAAGCGUCGGGAGCAAACAGG